rnacentral:rRNA from 1 species
AUUGAACGCUGGCGGCAUGCCUUACACAUGCAAGUCGAACGGCAGCACGGACUUCGGUCUGGUGGCGAGUGGCGAACGGGUGAGUAAUAUAUCGGAACAUACCCUAGAGUGGGGAUAACGUAGCGAAAGUUACGCUAAUACCGCAUACGAACUAAGGUUGAAAGUGGGGGAUCGCAAGACCUCAUGCUCAUGGAGUGGCCGAUAUCUGAUUAGCUAGUUGGUGAGGUAAAGGCUCACCAAGGCGACGAUCAGUAGCUGGUCUGAGAGGACGACCAGCCACACUGGAACUGAGACACGGUCCAGACUCCUACGGGAGGCAGCAGUGGGGAAUUUUGGACAAUGGGGGCAACCCUGAUCCAGCAAUGCCGCGUGAGUGAAGAAGGCCUCGGGUUGUAAA